rnacentral:tRNA from 1 species
GGAUAGAUGGCUGAGUGGUUUAAAGCACCGGUCUUGAAAACCGGCAAACGUUCUGCGUUUCGUGGGUUCAAAUCCCACUCUGUCCG